AUUGAACGCUGGCGGCAGGCCUAACACAUGCAAGUCGAGCGGAUGAAGGGAGCUUGCUCCUGGAUUCAGCGGCGGACGGGUGAGUAAUGCCUAGGAAUCUGCCUGGUAGUGGGGGAUAACGUCCGGAAACGGGCGCUAAUACCGCAUACGUCCUGAGGGAGAAAGUGGGGGAUCUUCGGACCUCACGCUAUCAGAUGAGCCUAGGACGGAUUAGCUAGUUGGUGGGGUAAAGGCCUACCAAGGCGACGAUCCGUAACUGGUCUGAGAGGAUGAUCAGUCACACUGGAACUGAGACACGGUCCAGACUCCUACGGGAGGCAGCAGUGGGGAAUAUUGGACAAUGGGCGAAAGCCUGAUCCAGCCAUGCCGCGUGUGUGAAGAAGGUCUUCGGAUUGUAAAGCGCUUUAAGUUGGGAGGAAGGGCAGUAAGUUAAUACCUUGCUGUUUUGACGUUACCAACAGAAUAAGCACCGGCUAACUUCGUG
rnacentral:rRNA from 1 species